ensembl:snRNA U6 U6 spliceosomal RNA
GUGCUUGCUUUGGCAGCACAUACACUAAAAUUGGAAGGAUCCAGAGAAGACGGGCAUGGCCUCUGUGUAAGGAUGACACGCAAAUUCCUGAAGCAUUCCAUUUUUUU